rnacentral:lncRNA from 1 species
GGGCAGCUCGAAAGAAGAGAAUUCGAUGGUCGGCAGUGAUCACCGGCACUGAAAAAUCGAGAAGAACAAUAAGAAAAUAGAGAUUUUUUCUACAACAAAAUCUGACGACUCCGAUCACCGACGAUCGUACACACAGGCACGAAAAGAAAGGGGGAGAAGAGAGGGAGAGAACCUGGGGCUUACCUCGAGCUCCGACGAUAUCUUCAGUGAGAAAUUG